UUCAACAAAACAGGUAAAUGAAAUAAUAUGAAUAUUAAAAUACAUAACGGGGAGAGUCCAGUACAGCCAGACUCUCAUUUACAAGUUUAUGUUCUACUUGGUCAAGGGUUUGAUUUCAUUUUUAAU